UAGAGGUCAGAGGAGUGAGGUUUACCUGCACAGAUUUGAUGGCUGUAGUCUUGAUGAAACAUGCUGUGAAACGGUGUCUUCAGCUUUACAAUCGUCCAACUCUCAUCUGACGGCACUGGAUCUGAGCAACAAUGACCUGCGGGAUUCAGGAGUGAAUUCAAUCUCUGUUGGACUGAAGAGUUCAAACUGUCGACUGAACUUACUUAGAUUGGCAGGUUGUAGAUUGACUUUUGAGUGCUGUGAAAGCUUGUCCUCAGCUCUGCAAUCCUUAAACUCUCAUUUGAGAGAGCUGGACCUGAGUAACAAUGACCUGCAGGAUUCAGGAGUGAAGCUUCUUUCUACCGGACUGAAGAGUUCGCACUGUCAUUUGGAAAUACUGAGAUUAGUCACGUGUAAUCUCACUGGUGAGUGCUGUGAAAGUAUAUCUUCAGUUCUUCAAUCAAACACUCACCUACGAAAGCUGGACCUGAGUAACAAUGACCUGCAGGAUUCAGGAGUGAAGCUGCUUUCUAUUGGACUGAAGAGUUCACACUGUCAACUCAACUUACUGAAAUUGUCUGGCUGUAUGGUGACAGAGGAAGGCUGUGGUUUU